GAAAAUCUUCAUUCAUAUUUUUAAAAAUAUAUUAGCUAGAGUUUCUUUGCAUGUUUUCAUACGUAUCUUUAGGUUUUAGAUUAGUUUCGUGGACUCUUGUCUUACGUUUUUAUUUGGGUUACAAUCUUUCUGUCAGCGUGUAUUGCGUUCAAUCAAGCUGAUGACUUGAGAAUACAUAGCUCAUCUAAAUGAGAUUAAAGUGAUAUUAUUAAUGGCCAUAUACACUUGGGUUGUUUUGGUAAAUUGAUUUUUUGUAACAAAAUUUUUCGUACAUUGUUGGUCUGAAGACUAAACAAUUUAUGAUUUAUCGAUUCUAUAUAUAUAUAUAUAUACCACGUGAAUGAUCACAGUAGAAUUUAGAGUGAAUGUGGUAGGGCCCGUCGUCCCAGGUUCUGGAGUUUGAUUCGAUGAAAAAAGAGAACAAUACUAGAAAAUUGUUAAUGAUUUAAGUAUAUUGUAUGCUUGCAUGUUGGGAAAAUGUCACGGUGCAUGAUAUGCUGAAUCCACGACGAUGUGUUGUGUAUAAUAUUAUUUCUAUACAGAUGUCAAAGUAGACGCAAUUAAUUAAAUAGUAACAGUUUUAUUUAGUAUAUCUUCAAAGAAUCAAAAUAUACAAUAAGGCACAGCUGUGUUUAAGCAACUUUCGGUAGAUUUCAUGCCUAGGAAAUUUGAGUGUGUUUUAAAAAAAAAAAAAAAUUGGCUGUGCAUUUCGUAGUCUCUUAGUUUUAACAUGUUUAACAAGCAUAGCAGUUGAAGUUUUUAGAACAUUGACGUAAUCAACCUGAAGUGUAACAACGAUUAAAGUAGGAAAUAUAAACAUAAAAUAAAAAAACUAGACGGCCAAUCAGAUGAUAUUUGAAUGUCUGGCAUUAGACUAAAAUUAAACUAAUC
rnacentral:lncRNA from 1 species